rnacentral:rRNA from 1 species
UACGUAGGGAGCAAGCGUUGUCCGGAAUCAUUGGGCGUAAAGCGCGCGUAGGUGGCUCUAUAAGUCCGUUGUGAAAGUCAAAGGCUCAACCUUUGAAAGCCGAUGGAUACUGUAGAGCUAGAGUCCGGAAGAGGCGAGUGGAAUUCCUGGUGUAGCGGUGGAAUGCGCAGAUAUCAGGAGUAACACCAAUAGCGAAGGCAGCUCGCUGGGACGGUACUGACACUAAGGCGCGAAAGCGUGGGGAGCGAACAGG